rnacentral:lncRNA from 1 species
CCCCGAUCUCAUCACAAAGUAACAGCGACCAUCCUGCUCGCCACAGACACAAUUCAAGUUCAUUUAGUGCUCCAAUGUCCGAACCCAGGAAAGGAGAAGAAAAGGGUUUGGGGGGGUGGGGGUGGAUUCCUUCCUCCCUAACCCCCCCGCACUGCAAUAGCCCAGACGCCAGUCAAUAAUUAUAUCUACAAACUAUCCAGGCACGUAGUGCAAGGCAAGCAAAAAAAAAAAAAAAAAAAAAAAAAGUAGGAAAAAAAACCCACUCCCCCACAACCCUUUAAAAAUAACAGAAAAAGAAGUUAAAUAUAUACAUAGAAAUUAAAAGUACACCCUUACAGAAUUUCAUCUAGUAAUCCUCACUGAUCAGAAAUGAAACAAUGCUAGUAAUUAGAAGCAAGUGCAUGUUAGAGAAACAAGCAGAGGGUUUGCAGCGUAGUACGGGCGCACCGCCUGUGCAUGGCUGUGCGUCGGACUGACCUUGCCUCUCUGAUACAAAGCAGGGUUUUCCGCGGCGUCUGUUGUUGAGGCUGCUGGUGGAGUUCUUGCUGUGGUUGCGGGUUGCCCAGAAGUCCCCCCGAGGUGCUGUCCAGUCCCCCCGGUGCUGAAAUCACGCCCGACCGAAGGACUCACGCUGCCCAGCCAAUGGCGCUGGAAAUUUUCCGCAAUCGCUGCGUUUUGUGGUUGUCCAUCCUUUUCCUUUCCUCCCCUUCGGUCCUCUUAAGCCUUUUUUUUUUUUUUUUUUUUUUUUUUGCUUAUUUUUUCUUUCCUCUUACCACACCAAUCACAAAUAGAAAAUUUACAGUCAGGAUAUUCCUAUUCAGAUAUCUUACAACAUUUUUCUAAUUCUAUCAUUUUCAAAUAAUUUUUUAUCUCUGUACUCUAGGAAAAACUUGUGGUACUUCCCAGAUGAGCAGCUAAACCUGAGAAGAAAAGAUUAAGAUUAUACCUCCCAUAUGAAGAUCUCCAAUACAAACUUGCAAGCAAAAUACAGAGGUACACAUGUAAGUCUAUUGAAAUGUGUCCUCUAUAAUAGCUAUCAUAAUUUAAAACUAUUUUUAUAAUAAAUAUAUUUUAGAGACAUAAAAUGGUCUAGAAAACCAUACACAACUUCAAAGCCUAACUAUUCCAGUUCAACAGUAAAUUUAUUGGUGAAGAAUAAAAAUAUAUGGGACUUAUACGUCAUCUAAAU